UACGUAGGGGGCAAGCGUUGUCCGGAAUCAUUGGGCGUAAAGCGCGUGUAGGCGGCCCGGUAAGUCCGCUCUGAAAGUCCAGGGCUCAACCCUGGGAUGCGGGUGGAUACUGCCGGGCUCGAGUCCGGAAGAGGCGAGUGGAAUUCCCGGUGUAGCGGUGAAAUGCGCAGAUAUCAGGAGGAACACCGGUGGCGAAGGCGGAUCUCUGGGCCGAUACUGACGCUGAGGAGCGAAAGCGUGGGGAGCGAACAGG
rnacentral:rRNA from 1 species